rnacentral:rRNA from 1 species
UGGGGAAUAUUGGACAAUGGGGGCAACCCUGAUCCAGCAAUGCCGCGUGUGUGAAGAAGGUCUUCGGAUUGUAAAGCACUUUCGGCGGGGACGAUGAUGACGGUACCCGCAGAAGAAGCCCCGGCUAACUUCGUGCCAGCAGCCGCGGUAAUACGAAGGGGGCUAGCGUUGCUCGGAAUGACUGGGCGUAAAGGGCGUGUAGGCGGUUUGUACAGUCAGAUGUGAAAUCCCCGGGCUUAACCUGGGAGCUGCAUUUGAGACGUGCAGACUAGAGUGUGAGAGAGGGUUUGUGGAAUUCCCAGUGUAGAGGUGAAAUUCGUAGAUAUUGGGAAGAACACCGGUGGCGAAGGCGGCAACCUGGCUCAUUACUGACGCUGAGGCGCGAAAGCGUGGGGAGCAAACAGGAUUAGAUACCCUGGUAGUCCACGCUGUAAACGAUGUGUGCUGGAUGUUGGGUAACUUAGUUAUUCAGUGUCGUAGCUAACGCGAUAAGCACACCGCCUGGGGAGUACGGCCGCAAGGUUGAAAC